rnacentral:rRNA from 1 species
AUGCUUGAAGUCAGUUGCGCUGUUCGGGAUUCAGCCUUGCUUCUGCUCGGUUUACUUCCUGUUGGGUGGGUCAACAUCAGUUUCGGUUGGAGGAGAAAGGCUUGGGGAAGGUGGCAGCAUCUGUGCUGUGUUAUAGCCCCUUGUUGUAUACUUCGACUGGGACUGAGGACCGCAGCACGCCUUUGGCCAGGGUUUGCCCACGUACGUGCUUAGGAUGUUGGCAUAAUGGCUUUAAGCGACCCAUCUUGAAACACGGACCAAGGAGUC